rnacentral:lncRNA from 1 species
AAUUAAUCUCUAACACCAACCGUCCCUAGCACAACUGAUAAAGGGCUUGGAGGUUGGUACUGAGGUCCUAAAUUUGAAAUCUAAUUGCUUCACAUUUCUAGCUAAGUUUAUUUCUAAAAAAAAUGAGCGAAGCGAGUAACGUUCUACAUUUCUUUCUAAAAACCAAACAAAAUAAAAACAAAAUCUCUAACUAAGUCAUUUUGUACGCUUUU